GGAUAGCGUGCAGGGACUCAAAAUGCGGAGGUGGCGGGUUUUGAAACCCGUAACAGCUAGUUGUUGAUCCAGUCAACUAGCACCACCCUCAGUCAGGAGGAGGAUGACCUGCUAGCUGUGCUAACCAUAAGGGUUGUGGCUGGCUGUUGGCGGCAACUGGACGAGGCACACCUGCAUCCAAUCAUCAUCCUCCUCCAUAUAAACCUGGGCGUCUCAUCAAGUCGACGCCAGAUUAUUCCGUCCACUACGAACUCUCGUUUGCAUCAUCGCCCGGCUCGUCGUCCUCCCCGUUGCCAGGAUCCUCGCUAGCCAAUAAACUUUGUUCACAUAUCUAACUACAAACCUCUCCAUGUCUGCUUUGGGGCCCGAACCUUCACCUAAACUUAACAGAAUAAUCUGGCCAUAACAUGGACCCCGCAGAGAGACGUGGAGAAAUUCAGACUGGCGCUUUAAUCCCAAGGGAGUCGAGUGGGGCAGCAUGAGGCAGCCUUAAACGAGGUGAUGGAGACGCUCAACAGGCUUACCUCCACAGUCGCGCAAAUCGGCAGCCGAAAGGACCAAGUUUCUACUCACCUCUCCACGCUGACUGCUUCGUCUCCCGCUCCAGCUCUGGUCCCGGCUCUUGCCCCACCACCUCCUGCGGCUCCGCCGAGCUCUUCCUCCACUCAACCCCGGGAACCCAUCAUCCCCACACCCGUUAGGUUUUCGGGUCAGUCAGGGUCCGGUAGAGAAUUCCUUUUUCAAUGUAAUCUCGUUUUUGAACAACAGCCCUUCACUUACGCUACCGUCAAAUCGCGGGUAGCGUUUGUUAUGAGUUUCCUAUCUGAGAAAGACGCGGCUUGGGCUGCAAAGCUCUCGUUUAGCCAGUCUCCGGUUUGUUUUUCCUUUUCCUCCUUCUCAGGAGUUUCUUAAAGUGUUUGACCACCCGCUGCGUAGCAAGGAGGCUAGCAGUCGGCUCCUGUCGCUACGACAGGGAGGAGACUCCGUAGCUAAGCAUUUGGUGAAUUUCCGGAUUCUAGCGCUUGAGGCCGGGUGGGAUGAAAGAGCGUUGCAGGGGGGUUUUCUCCGGGGAUUGAGAGAAGAGUUGAGGGACGAAUUGGCUGCUCGGGAUGAGACAUCCUCUCUAGAUGAAUUAAUUUCG
ensembl:lncRNA